UAGUACUGCUGAUUGUAACGAUUCAGUCCAAACUGUAGGCGAGAUGAUGAACCCAAGUGCAGUUUAUUGUAACAAAGUGAACAAACAAACAGAGCAACCACUUGACAUGAAUUGAACAGACUUGACUUGGCAAUGAGCAGACUUGAACAUGAGCAGACUUGAACAUGAGCAGACUUGAACAUGAGCAGACUUGAACAUGAGCAGACUUGACUUGAUGACAGCAGGGUUACAUUAACAAUACACAACCAAGUAACAUGGGGAAGACAAUGGCUUUAAAUACAAGAACAAAGAGAACACAUGACUAUGGCAACCAAUGAGCAAGUGACACAAGGAACAUGAGAACCAAUGACAGAACAGAACUGAAAACCACAUGACCAUAACCAACCAAUGAGAACAUGACACAUAGACUAAGGGAGAACAUGAGGAGCAAGGGAAGCAUGACACAAACAAGCAACAUAUAUCAAACUACAAAAUAAAAGACAUGAACACAUAAACAUGAACACAAAACCAAAACAUACGUGACACUGAUAAAUUAAGGAACAUUUGUGUUGGAUAAAAUGGACAGAUGAGCACACGUGUGUUUAUCCAGUGGAGAGAGGCUGAUGAAGGAAUGCUGCCAUCAAAGCCUUUGAAGCUUUUGUGGUGGAGCAGGACCUACAAGGCAAGGUGACGGCAGCAUUUGUGAAAAAAGGGGAAACCCUGAAACAAAAAUACGAAGAACUGAAAUGUCCGCAGACUGGUGUGAGCACUGAGGAUGGAGAGCCACAGCAGCAUCCUGGAAAUGGUAUAGUGCAAUGGAUGAGACCCUCCAUUACUCCACCUGCCCUUAUUGCCUCAUCUGGCCCAGAUAUUGCUGUGGUCUCUUCAUCCUCAGUGAGCCCAGAGCCAGCGAGAGCAUCUAGGAAAAGACCAAAAGACAUUGAGAAUGUGAUUUUGGUCAAAUUUGUUCUGCUGGUUUGUGCUCAUACAAUGGAGCCCAACUUUCAUAUCAACAAUGUCCCCUAUUGAGAAGAGCAGCAAUGAGGGACAUGAUGGACAGCAAAGACAGGUGAAGGUACACUGUAAAAAAUGUUUUGUGCCGUUUACUUACAAAAAAAAAAAAAAAAAAUAUGGUAACAAUAUUACACAAUAUUUUUGAGCAGUUUUUAAUUUGGUUUUCUUAAAUGGAAUCAUGUAAUAAAUCAUGUUAAAAUCUCCUAACACACUUAAUUUAAUAUUUUUUGUGAAAUGUGCUUGAUUAUUUUAAGUUGACUCUCAAAAGUGUGUGAUUUAGAAUGAAUGGAAAUGACCCGUUUAUAUUUGACUUUGAGUUAUGAUGUACAAUUUAAAGUCUGUACGCUGUAAGCUGUUACGGUGUUGGUGCAGUAGAGACGAAGCAUAUACGAACUUCCACAAAAUAGGGCAUUUAAUAUAACGAAGGAGAAGGAAUACAACCAUACACACAUAAACUAACAAUAAGAACAGACAAGGGCUGCGUUUACACUGGCACAAAAAAUCCGAUCUUUUGCGC